rnacentral:tRNA from 1 species
CGCCCGUAGCUCAACGGAUAGAGCAUCUGACUACGGAUCAGAAGGUUGGGGGUUCGAAUCCCUCCGGGCGCA